GUUUUGGAAUGGUAUUCACCUGUCUUUUGGUUAGCAUGACAUUCACAUAGAUUUUGAGCUGGUAGCCUUUGGGUUUUUGAAGGCAAGGUUUUUUGCCCUUGAGCAAAUUUUGUGCUUAAGCAGCUCUAUGAAAUUGGCCCCAGCUGCAUGUGAACUGAUUCAACUUCAGCAGUUUCAAAGACUGGAGGAAGCACAGGUGCUCCUCUGGAGGACGCACAGGUGCUCCUCUGGAGGACGCACAGGUGCUCCUCUGGAGGACGCACAGGUGCUCCUCUGGAGGACGCACAGGUGCUCCUCUGGAGGACGCACAGGUGCUCCUCCAAUCACUAGCAAAGUUACAGUCUCUUGCCUAACUGCAUACACACAUGUCCCCAAUGUGAAAACCAGGUGACUUUCGGGUGACAGCACAACUAGGUAGCAAUUGAAAGUUUGCAUGGUGGAUCCACAAUGAGGUAGAGGGUUUAGCGGAGACACCGUGUGGAUGAUCUCUUUUUUGAGUACAUGUAUUUUCAAAAGAACCAGUACUCCAUGUUUCAGAAGGGAAUCCAGCAGUCUCUUGACAACGGACAGAGCACCCACUGUCCAAAACUUAGUUCUUUUUCAGUACCACACAUACUCACAAAAGAGAUCGUCCGCAUGUUGUCUCCACAAACCCCCUUACAAGUUGUACAACUUUAGUUAUAUCGUCUAAAUAUCAACAGAGUAGUUUUUAUGUACGAUAUCUUACAGAAAUUCACUUGUACUGUACAUAAUUCAGUUCCUAGUACAUGUAUUUGUAUCAUCAACUUUGCUUUUCUGUCAUCUUUCUUGUUCUCUUGCCGUUGAGAAACUGUAGAUCAUGUACAAUGUUCACAGGUAGCAGAAACAUGAAAUGGACUUUUAGCAUUAAAACGACAUAUCUACGGAGAGCAGUUCUUGAUUUCAGUUUCCAAAGGGGCAGUUUUUUAAGCAUUGUUACCUUCUAUCUGUACGCUUCAUUUCAGCUCAUUUCAGUCACUGAAAUAAAUUUUGCUCUUUGACUCAAAACA